GCGCUCACUUCAGCAGCACAUAUACUAAAACUGGAACAUGCAGAGAAGACGAGCAUGGCCACUGCACAAGGAUGCUCAAAGCAUGAUUCAUUAUAAUUGGUU